rnacentral:rRNA from 1 species
AUACGAAAGGUGCAAGCGUUGUUCGGAUUUACUGGGCGUAAAGAGAGUGUAGGUUGUUUAUUAAGUCGGAUGUGAAAUCCCGGGGCUCAACCUCGGAACUGCAUUCGAUACUGAUAGGCUAGAGUUUGGGAGGGGUAAGCGGAAUUCCGUGUGUAGCAGUAAAAUGCGUAGAUAUACGGAGGAACACCUGAGGCGAAGGCGGCUUACUGGACCAAUACUGACACUGAGACACGAAAGCGUGGGUAGCAAACAGGAUUAGAAACCCUAGUAGUCC